rnacentral:rRNA from 1 species
AGCGAACGCUGGCGGCAGGCCUAACACAUGCAAGUCGAACGAACCUUUCGGGGUUAGUGGCGGACGGGUGAGUAACACGUGGGAACGUGCCUUUAGGUUCGGAAUAACUCACGGAAACUUGUGCUAAUACCGAAUGUGCCCUUCGGGGGAAAGAUUAAUCGCCUUUAGAGCGGCCCGCGUCUGAUUAGCUAGUUGGUUGAGGUAAUGGCUCACCAAGGCGACGAUCAGUAGCUGGUCUGAGAGGAUGAUCAGCCACAUUGGGACUGAGACACGGCCCAAACUCCUACGGGAGGCAGCAGUGGGGAAUCUUGCGCAAUGGGCGAAAGCCUGACGCAGCCAUGCCGCGUGAAUGAUGAAGGUCUUAGGAUUGUAAAAUUCUUUCACCGGGGACGAUAAUGACGGUACCCGGAGAAGAAGCCCCGGCUAACUUCGUG